AGUGAACGCUGGCGGCGUGCUUAACACAUGCAAGUCGAACGAGAACGGGAUAUAGCUUGCUAUAUUUGUCAGCUAAGUGGCGCACGGGUGAGUAAUGUAUAGAUAACCUGCCCUCUAGAAAGGAAUAACAGUUGGAAACGACUGCUAAUGCCCUAUAUGCCUUUAAUACAUAAGUAUGCAAGGGAAACGCUUUAGUGCUAGAGGAUGGGUCUGUAUGGUAUCAGCUUGUUGGUGAGGUAAUGGCUCACCAAGGCUAUGACGCCUAACUGGUUUGAGAGGAUGAUCAAUCACACUGGAACUGAGACACGGUCCAGGCUCCUACGGGAGGCAGCAGUGGGGAAUAUUGCACAAUGGACGAAAGUCUGAUGCAGCAACGCCGCGUGGAGGAUGACACAUUUCGGUGCGUAAACUCCUUUUAUAUAGGAAGAUAAUGACGGUACUAUAUGAAUAAGCACCGGCUAACUCCGUGCCAGCCGCCGCGGUAA
rnacentral:rRNA from 1 species